ACUUACGGCCAUCCCACCCUGUCUGCGCCCGAUCUAGUCUGCUCUCGGAAGCAAAGCAGGGUCGGGCAUGGUUAGUA
rnacentral:rRNA from 1 species